GGACUACUCGGGUUUCUAAUCCCGUUUGCUCCCCUGGCUUUCGUGUCUCAGCGUCAGCACAUCCCCAGCGAGCUGUUUUCACCGUUGGCGUUCCAAACGAUAUCUACGCAUUUCACCGCUCCACCGUUUGUUCCGCUCGCCCCUAGAUGGCUCAAGACUCCCAGUAUGCCAAGCAGUUCCACGGUUGAGCCGUGGGAUUUCACAAGGCACUUAGAAGUCCGCCUACACACGCUUUAAGCCCAGUGAUUCCGCCUAACGCUCGGCACCUCUGUCUUACCGCGGCUGCUGGCAC
rnacentral:rRNA from 1 species